rnacentral:rRNA from 1 species
GGUCGGACUCUAGCGAGACUGCCGGUAAUAAACCGGAGGAAGUGGGGAUGACGUCAAAUCAUCAUGCCCCUUAUGACCUGGGCUACACACGUGCUACAAUGGUUGGUACAACGAGUUGCGAGUCGGUGACGGCGAGCUAAUCUCUUAAAGCCAAUCUCAGUUCGGAUUGUAGGCUGCAACUCGCCUACAUGAAGUCGGAAUCGCUAGUAAUCGCGGAUCAGCACGCCGCGGUGAAUACGUUCCCGGGCCUU